GACGUACGAGCAGCGACGAGAGUCUUGGUGAAGGGUUCGUGUGGUGCGAAUUCUGUCGAGCACAAGGGUGCGAGUCCGCCGGAAUUCUUGUGCGAAAAGUGGGUCGAGUGCUGCGACAAGGGUCGUGGUGUUGAGGGUUUCGUGCGCGUGAGUGGUGUGGUCUUCGGUCGCCGGAAUUCUUUCGCCGGCGAUUUCUAACGGUAUAAUUUUGUACUUAACUUAGUAUGUCAGUUUAUUAAUUAUUCUUAUAUUUACUGUUUCGUAGUUAAGAAAGGUUUGUAAUUAUUAAUUAAUAAUUAGAGUUGUGUAAUAAAUUAUUAGUUAAGUUAUUGUUCUGUUUUAAGUGAAAAUUUCUGGUUAGGUUUGUAAUUGGAAUAAGUUGGAAGUAGGAAAAUUGUGUAUUAUUAUUAGUUACAUUAUUAUCGUUUCAUGAGUAACCUGUUUCAUGAAAUCUGACUUUGGGACGUGUGACUCACCCUUUGGACAUGGAAUUUACCCUUUUGGACAUGGAACUUACUUUUGGACAUGGAACUUACCUUUUGGACAUAUGACUUACCUUUUGGACAUAUGACUUGACUUUUGGACAUAAGACAGGCUGGACUUAUGACAUUUUGGAUGGGUAAAACAGUGGACUAAUGUUACUAACUAACUUAGUUACUCACUAACUCUGACUUCUAAAAGACGUUAAAUUCACUAGAUUAGAAUUAUAACGAAAGUUCUGGAAUAAGGUUUUAACUAUUGCGUAAUUCGAAUCGUUAGAUCGUUAUGGUCUUAGUACGUAGUAGUUGUUAGUGUUAUCAAGGACGUAACACUAAAGCUUUGUUUUAACGAUUUAGGUCCCAAUUUCAUAAGCGGCUCGUUCUAUUAAGUCAGCGAAAAUUCUCCGUUACAAGACUAGGUGAGCUGGUGCUGCUGCAUGACAUCAAGCAUAUGGGGGCUAGACUGUAGUUUGAAGUUAAUUUUGGUUUGAUCAUUAAUGAAUUUUAUAGAACAUUAUUACAUGGUUUGAGUUUGAAUAAAGAGGGGUCAUCUAUGAUUCCCGAGUUGUAAUUACAUUUUCUAUUCCGCUGCAAUUUGGUUUUGAGACAAUGAAUUUGAGUUACCGUAUUUCUAAUUA